AGAAUAGAAGUUUUAUAAUAGUUGACCUGCAAUCAAAAGAAGAUAAUUUGUUAUCCUAUUCUG
rnacentral:tRNA from 1 species